UACAGAUGAGUACGAUGUUGAACAACCCUUGCACGUCUGAAUUCAUAACAUGCAUCAUCUUCAUCGAUGGAAUUUAACUGCUUCUUGUACAUGAGUGACUUUGGUGUUAUUGCAGCCAAUAAGUUCUCUUCUCAAUAAAUUUCCAUCAUACUCUAAAAAGCUUGAUGAUGAUCACUGAAUACGACUGAAAAUGUUAGCAUCAAAGCCUUUUUUGAUAGAUAUAUUGUGUAUCAGAGUUAAGUUAUGAUAAAAACUUCAACACUAAGAAUGGCAGCCUUUUAUGUGAAGUGAGCCAAUUUUUUCAAAAUUGCAAUAAAAAUCAAAUUUCCAAAGAGCUGCAGAAUAUGUAAACAAAAAAAUCUGUUUUAAAUACAAUAAAACUGUAGUCAACAACGUUUACUUUUUAAAAUACAAAAGUAAUAGAAUAAAUAGAAAUGGAUUAAAUGAUACUGAAUCUUGGAACUGUUUCAUUAUAAUAAUUACAUACUUCAUUAUUCUCCAGUAUCUAUCUACACUAUAUUCACUUUUACAGUUUUUAUUGUUUCAGAUGUUAAUUAUAUCAAGAAACUUCAAAAGAUUUUCUUAAAACUAGCAUCAAAUAUUUUUGCAGUUCAUGUUUUCUACUUGAAAAACCAAUUCUUUUUGUUUAUAUCUUAAUUUAACUACACAUUACAAGAAUACUUUGAUAUUUUAUUUACAAAAAUAUUCAUUUUUAGACACCCAUUGAAUCACCUGUCUCUCAAUCUUAAAUCAUAUUUUAAAAUUUAAUCCAAAAACAGAUUCAUGAAUACUUUCUACUAGUUAAGUGACUAAAAUCUUUCACAAUGUAUUUUGAUUAAGUAUAUUGAAUUUGUAAUAUAAGCUACAGAUUUUG